CCACCUCAAAGUAAAUUCAACAUUUAAUAAAUACUUUUCUUGAUAAAUGGAGGUACAACAAAAAUAAUCUAAUAUUGAUUAAAUUAUGAUCUAGUUUUUUAUAAAAUUUGUUCUCUUUUCGCUUGUCGGAUCCAUCUAAAGUACAAUAAAUGACAUUUGUUAUUAUUUUUCAUUCGAAUAUCAUUAAAAUUUAUUUUUAUUUGGCACUUUAUGCCAUGCUAAAUUAAUGAAAACUC
rnacentral:lncRNA from 1 species